rnacentral:rRNA from 1 species
GUGGGGAAUUUUGGACAAUGGGGGCAACCCUGAUCCAGCCAUUCCGCGUGAGUGAAGAAGGCCUUCGGGUUGUAAACUGCUUUUGUACGGAACGAAAAGGCUCUGGUUAAUACCUGGGGCUCAUGACGGUACCGUAAGAAUAAGCACCGGCUAACUACGUGCCAGCAGCCGCGGUAAUACGUAGGGUGCAAGCGUUAAUCGGAAUUACUGGGCGUAAAGCGUGCGCAGGCGGUUUUGUAAGACAGACGUGAAAUCCCCGGGCUCAACCUGGGAAUGGCGUUUGUGACUGCAAAGCUGGAGUGCGGCAGAGGGGGAUGGAAUUCCGCGUGUAGCAGUGAAAUGCGUAGAUAUGCGGAGGAACACCGAUGGCGAAGGCAAUCCCCUGGGCCUGCACUGACGCUCAUGCACGAAAGCGUGGGGAGCAAACAGGAUUAGAUACCCCUGUAGUCC